rnacentral:rRNA from 1 species
AUUGAACGCUGGCGGAAUGCUUUACACAUGCAAGUCGAACGGCAGCACGGGGCAACCUGGUGGCGAGUGGCGAACGGGUGAGUAAUACAUCGGAACGUGCCCAAUCGUGGGGGAUAACGUAGCGAAAGUUACGCUAAUACCGCAUACGAUCUACGGAUGAAAGCGGGGGAUCGCAAGACCUCGCGCGAAUGGAGCGGCCGAUGUCAGAUUAGGUAGUUGGUGGGGUAAAGGCUCACCAAGCCAACGAUCUGUAGCUGGUCUGAGAGGACGACCAGCCACACUGGAACUGAGACACGGUCCAGACUCCUACGGGAGGCAGCAGUGGGGAAUUUUGGACAAUGGGCGCAAGCCUGAUCCAGCCAUCCCGCGUGCAGGAUGAAGGCCUUCGGGUUGUAAACUGCUUUUGUACGGAACGAAAAGGUCCUGGUUAAUACCUGGGGCUCAUGACGGUACCGUAAGAAUAAGCACCGGCUAACUACGUGCCAGCAGCCGCGGUAAUACGUAGGGUGCAAGCGUUAAUCGGAAUUACUGGGCGUAAAGCGUGCGCAGGCGGUCUUGUAAGACAGAGGUGAAAUCCCCGGGCUCAACCUGGGAACUGCCUUUGUGACUGCAAGGCUGGAGUACGGCAGAGGGGGAUGGAAUUCCGCGUGUAGCAGUGAAAUGCGUAGAUAUGCGGAGGAACACCGAUGGCGAAGGCAAUCCCCUGGGCCUGUACUGACGCUCAUGCACGAAAGCGUGGGGAGCAAACAGGAUUAGAUACCCUGGUAGUCCACGCCCUAAACGAUGUCAACUGGUUGUUGGGUCUUCACUGACUCAGUAACGAAGCUAACGSGUGAAGUGACCGCCUGGGGAGUACGGCCGC